UACGGAGGGUGCGAGCGUUAAUCGGCAUUACUGGGCGUAAAGCGCGCGUAUGUGGUCGGGUAAGUCGGAUGUGAAAGCCCCGAGCUUAACUUGGGAACGGCAUUCGAUACUGCCUGACUAGAGUAUGGUAGAGGAGAGCGGAAUUCCCGGUGUAGCGGUGAAAUGCGUAGAUAUCGGGAGGAACAUCAGUGGCGAAGGCGGCUCUCUGGAUUAAUACUGACACUGAGGCGCGAAAGCGUGGGUAGCAAACAGG
rnacentral:rRNA from 1 species